CCUACGGGAGGCAGCAGUGAGGAAUAUUGGUCAAUGGCCGGAAGGCUGAACCAGCCAAGCCGCGUGAAGGACGAAGGUGCCAAGCAUUGUAAACUUCUUUUGUCAAGGGACAAAAUCAGGCUCGAGAGCCUGACCGAGGGUCAGUGAAGAAAAAGCAUCGGCUAACUCCGUUCCAUCAGCCGCGGUAAUACGGGGGAUGCGAGCGUUAUCCGGAUUUAUUGGGUUUAAGGGGUGCGUAGGCGGGCUGUUAAGUCAGCGGGAAAAGCCCGGGGCUCAACCCCGGCGAGACGGUGAAACUGGCUGUCUUGAGAUGUCGAGAGGUAGGCGGAAUGCGCAGUGUAGCGGUGAAAUGCUUAGAUAUUGCGCAGAACUCCGAUUGCGAAGGCAGCAUACCGGCGGCGAUCUGACGCUGAGGCACGAAAGCGUGGGUAUCGAACAGGAUUAGAUACCCGUGUAGUC
rnacentral:rRNA from 1 species